CAUCCUCGUAAACAAUGCAACCUUUUCCUCUCAGCCCCUUUGUUUUGAACCCAUCAAAGUUUGUCUCAUUGAAAAAUGUAAUGCACACAUAAUAACCUCAAAAUAUGGUAUCCACAACAAGUGAUUUAGAAAAAAAUUCUCCAAUUUAUGACAGGAAAAGUGAACUAUAAGAAUUUGAUGAGUCAAAGGUUGGUGUCCAAGGACUCAAAGAAAACGGUGUCACAAAGUUCCACAUAUGUUCUAUUGUGUCAUGGACGGCUUAGUUAAUGAAUCAAAUACAAAGCUUAGUAUCCCUACAAUUGAUUUAAAAGGCAUCCAUGAUGAUCAUGCUUUGAGAGAUGAAGUUUUGAGAAAAGUUGAAAUGCAUGUGAUCAAGUUGUAUUAUGACACACGUGAUCUUACAAGAAAAGUUGUUUAUCUUUCCAAUUUUACCCUUUAUCAAGACACAUAUCUAGUUAUUGGAGGGACACACUUGCAUUUUUUUGAGCACCUCAUCCUCCUAAAGAUGAAGAACUACCAAUAGUUUGCAGUUUGUGAAUAAUAACAAGUUCACAAAUGUUCAGCACAAAGUAUUAGCAAAACAUGUUGGCCCAAGAAUUUGAAUUACAUCCAUUUUUAGAACACAUCAUGAUUCAGAAGAGGAUAUGGCAAAAGUGAUUGGUCCAAUUAAGGAACUGUUAUCCAAAGAAAGUCUACCAAUAUACAGAGAUACUUCUUUUAAAGAGUUUUUGACACAUCGUUUUGCAAAUGGCAUUGGAGCUUCUGCAUUAUCACUCUACAAGUUGUGAUCACAUAUGAACAAAUUGCAUGCAAUCUUUUGCUGUAUGGUUAUGAGUGUAUCAUCUAUAUUUGCAAUGCUAAUAUUUUGCUUCCUACAAAAUAAAGACACUUCAUUUGAUAAUAUAUGAUAUGAUAACCACCAUCUCUUAUACUUUGCAAUUUUUAAUUGGACAAUCUUACUAUUGCUAUUGCAUUUAUAAUA